rnacentral:rRNA from 1 species
UACGGGGGGGGCAAGCGUUGUUCGGAAUUACUGGGCGUAAAGGGCUCGUAGGCGGCCAACUAAGUCAGACGUGAAAUCCCUCGGCUUAACCGGGGAACUGCGUCUGAUACUGGAUGGCUUGAGUUUGGGAGAGGGAUGCGGAAUUCCAGGUGUAGCGGUGAAAUGCGUAGAUAUCUGGAGGAACACCGGUGGCGAAGGCGGCAUUCUGGACUACAACUGACACUGAGGAACGAAAGCCAGGGGAGCAAACGGG